UUGGGGAAGGAAACACAACUGUCCUGUUGGAUCCAUCCAUUGUUCUACCAUGUUCACCCUGGCAGUCCUUUAAAAAGCUAGAAAAUAAGGCCAUUUUAAGAUCGUAGAGCUUAUUACAAGUUGUUUCACAUACAGCAGACACAUAAUAAUUUCACAGGGCGGGUGGGAUGCCAAGCAUGAAUGAUAAGGGGGUACCCCAGAGGAAGAGGCAGCCUGGGGAGGGUAUGGGGUCCCCCUAAGAUCUUAGAGCUGCUGUGCUGGGGAUUCUGCCUUGAGUGCAGACAGUGACACACAGUGGAUAUCCAAGGACCAGCAGCACUCUGAGUUUCUGGGUUCCCAGAUGGCAGAACAGGCCAUGAGAGCAUCCACAGCUCCUUGGAGGUGAGGAGUGGGUAGGGUGGGCUCUGAAAGGCUUCUCUCUCACCCCAGGCUGCAAGAGGACUUGGCCAGCACUCACAGGGCCCAUCAACUCCUGGAGGAGAAACUCCAAAGCCUGGUCUCCAGGUUGGCUUCCAGCCCUCCGGGAUCCCCUGUUUUCUUUUUCCUGAAUGAGGCUCCCAGCGGCAACCUGGACUCUGCCAUGCCCUGGGUGAACCCAGAGCUGAGGAAGGGGGGUGGUGUGGGAGUCCUGGGGGCCACCAGGAAGGAGAGUCAACACUGCUGUGAAAGGAGUCUGCCCCAGGCUCCCCUGUCCCAACUUUCUUAGUGUCAGCAAUAAAGCCUGAGACUGUA